CCCCCCGCUAUUGCUGAUACAACCUUAAAGAUUGAGUGCUUCAGACUGAGUAACUGCACGCACAGAGACGAGAAUGUCUGCCAGGAACACUCCCAGGAGAAAACAAUGUCAGGCAGCAGAGUCACCAUCCCCGGCUCUUCCUCUACCUCUCUCUCUCUGUGGAUGCCUCCAGGCCAUAGACAUAGAGGCAAGUGUAAUCCUACUAAUAUUCCAC